UCCUCGGUUCUCAAAUUA
rnacentral:snRNA from 1 species